GGUGCGCGGAAGUUUUGGGGACACGACCUCUUUUGUAAUUAACCGUGAUACAUUUAUUUAUUUUAGAUACACACACACACGCUGCAGGUGGUUCGACGGGGCGGGGAAGGUUUCAAUCGUGGAAGAUGGACCGGUUGGGUGUUUGAAGCGGAUAGGUCUUGGGACACGGGUGCCGUCAGAGUAGAGCCGUUGCAGCUGGCUACGCCGUUUCAAGCUCAUUUAAGAAUAACUACUAUACUAAAUUAAACAAAAUGUAAAAAAUGCAUUAUUUGUACAUCGCUUCGUAUGCACAGCGAACAUUAAAUAUAUUUCUUUAUUAAAAUCAAUAUCAGGGGGUUACUGCGAUAGUUCCCCUUAAAAAAAAAAAAAAACUAAAUAAAACAAAAUAAUGCACCCCCACCCCCAGCCGUGCAUCAACCAAGUAGGCAGGGGGCAUCACUUACAACGUGUUUUGUGGACAAACCUGUGUCCAUGCGUACAGAACGGGGACGGGGAAAAAUGACACACAACACACGGGGUUGUGCGUUGUUUCGCAAACAGCAAACGAACGCGAAAAUGUAAGGAAUAAAAAUUAAAAUUUUAAAUUA